rnacentral:lncRNA from 1 species
GCUAAUGUUUACAGAGCGCUUCCUAUAUACCAGGUGCUGAGCUAAGUGCCUUACUCACGUUAAUGUUUUUCCAAAGAUGAAAAAAAACAAAAACAAAAGCAUAAACAAUACUCUGGCAAGCAGGUGAAAAUAGUUUUGCUGAGCAUUGCUGGCCCAUUUCUGGCUUUAAUGGCAGCGCAACCCCAAGUUCUGGGUCAUGGUUAUAAAAUACAUUGUUUCGAUGGCAGAAAAAAAUAAGGGGAUUUGGGCUAGGGAGCUUUAGAGUCAUAAUAACAAAAAUAAUUUUUCCUCCAGGAGUCCCCGCAGUAAAAGUGUUUCUGUAGCUGGGAGUUCACAGCUGCCGUAAAACCUAAAUGUCAGCAACUCCCGUGGUGUUGGAUCACGUGCUACCCCGCUUACAGCCAGCAGCCCUGACAUCGGGGCCAAGCAUCUCAGACACCAAGGCUCUACUGAGGAAGAAGUCAGCUGACCCAGGAUAAACCAAUCAGAAUCUCCCUAGAAGACACCCUCACACACAAGGGCAAGUUUUGUUUAGUUUCUUUCUUCCUUCCUUUUUUCUUUUUUACUAUUUUGUGCACUCCUAAAUCCCAAGUGCCUAAGAUAAUGCCAGGCAUGUAGUAGGUGCUCAUUUUAUAUUGAACUUUAUCUUUCUCUGCAUUUGGAAUCAAGACUAGGCAACUGGUCUCUGCAAGACUGGCGCUGAGAGACCCCUAACCCGGAAGCUAAGGCAGCCAGGAUCUGCCCCAAGGAUUGAGGACUGAACUGGGGGGAAAGGAGGAGGAGUAAGAAGCAGAAAGGAGACGGGUGGAGGCAGAGAGAGGCAAAACAGGUCUCCAGAAUACACCCCUGUGUCCUUAUGAAAAUAUUCCACCCUCCUUUCUCCUUGAGCUUGCUUGAGUGGGUCUUGAUAUUUAAAACCAAGUCAAUCUAACCAAAACAGCAUGUCUCCUUGAAGUCCUUCCCCAGAGGGAACGGUGCAAAUUCCUGUGAACUCUUGAAGUAUUUUUAGCAGCAUAUGCUUGGAUAACUUUAGUCCUUGUCUGAUCUGUGCACUGAGGGAGGUAGGAAGGUGGGAUGGCACUCUGGAGCCUGACUGCCUGGCUCCCAAUCCUUGCUCCUGCCCAUCCAUCCUGCCACCUGGGUCAGGUGAGCUAACUUUUCCGAAACCUCAGUUUCUUCCUCUGCAAAAUGGAGGUGAUAAUGGCCACUACCUCCCUGUGUUAUUUUGAAAAUAUAAAGUGCUUUGCACGGUACUUAGCACAUGGUUAGCACUAAAUAAGUAAAAAUAAUGUAUCCAAUACACUGAACAAGCAGGAGUCUUAUAAAAGCAAUUUGAUUUUUGUCUCCUGUUUCACUUUAAACCUGUGCAUGGUCCGCAAUCUCUUCCUCCCCGAAGAAUGAGAUUCUGAGCAGCCCCAGAAGUUUUCUGAUCAGUGUUAGGUAGUAAA